AGACUGUUUCUUCUUUUGACACAGAAGCUCUUGUAACAGUUUUGUUCUUUAUAAAUCUUGUUGACAACAUGUGCAUCUUAUUAGAACAUUACUUCUUCUAUUGACACAUUUUUUUUAAUCCUUUUUCAGUUUAAAAGAAAAACGAAAUCUUCUAUGAGAUUAUCGUGACACUUUGAAUCCACAGUAAACAGAAGGUUCCUGCAAAAACAGCUCAGACUGUUUUACUGCUGACCCACUUGAAGCAAUGAUGUCAUGUCUCUGUGAACAUUUACCCUAAAACUUUUGCAGACUUGUGCAAACUGUUUUUUUCCCAGAGCAAAAAGAAAAGAUAAAAGGGCUCCUCUUUGUUGUGAACUGAAUACAGUCAAUUAAAAAGACGUUAAAAGACCUUUUAGCAGAGGUUUACAGUUAGAAAGAUUGAUUUUGAGUCAGUCUCUGCAGUCUGAUGCAGAAAGGUCGCCGAGUUGACAAAGAGAUGAUGGUUCACACUGUCAAGUUCAUGGAUAAGUGUACAAAUGGAAAAUAAACAGCUCUUAUUUGUUGCCAUGGUGACAGAUUGAACAAAAGUUCUGCAGAAGAGGAGGGUAUAUUUCUGUGAGCUGUUGCACAUUAGAAUAGAGCACCGCUCAUGUGUGUGCGCUCCCGGCCCCCGUGUCUGUGGGGAAGAACUGAAAACAAUGUCUGAAAAUUAUUAAAGACACCCCACACAGAAACAUCCACCCCCGUCGCUCAUUACCGCUCUCUUCUGCUUCUCCUGCAGGCCAAUGUGACCCUCAUCCGAGUCAAGUGUUGCUGCUCAGCGUUUUCACGGAGACGCAGUACGCCGAAGGGACGCUCAAGAAGAAAGUGCACAGUGGUGCGAGGGAGGAGAAGCAAAACAAUCACCCUCUCGCUCUAAUAAUUCUCUCUAUCUGUGACUUUCACAGUGUGUGUUUAUCUCGCCGAGGAUAUUGGCUGCCGAUCAUAAAUAGCUUUUCUCUGACAGGAUGCCAUAACAGACAGGCAGAGAGCUCAUGGGAGGAGAAGGGGGGGGUUGAAUGUAAGGUGUGCGGUGGUGGGGGGCAAGAGGGUACCAAGAUCAAGAGAGCGAUUGAGGGAGGAAGGGAAGAAAACAGAUGGAAACACGGGUUAUCUCCAUCACAGCAGCAUGACAGGUGUCAGUGAUGCUAUGACAGAUGUAGGGCUCUUAAACGCAAACUACCAAGAUGGAGUUGAUGCGAUCCCAUUAAACAAACAUUAUUUGAUGCCAAAAAAAAAACUUUGAUUUCAGGGUGAAUAUAAUUAUUGUUAAUGCAAGUUUCUGCCUAAAAUCUAUGUUUAAUGCACAUCAUCUAAUCAAAAUGUCACACUAAUUUUGUUCUAUAUUUCCUAAAUAUUGCUUUUAGUUCUAGAUGUUUUUGGGAAAAUUCUAAACUGCUGUCUGAUCAAUCAUUCUUGCACAGUCUGUUAACAAAAUAAAAGCCUUGUCAAGUUUUACAUUCCAUUUUUAGGGGUGUAACGAUUCAUUUCAAUGAUUCAAUUCAUAUCAUGAUUUGUGGUUGACGAUAUGAUUUAUAGUCAAUAUUGGUUCAUUUGGAGCGAUCUGAUUCACUGACCUGAAAUCGAUCCAGCUAAACUUCAACCUGUGUGACUCAGAGAGAAAGAGCUGGGACUGAACAGCGUAGGUGAAGUUUUCCACAUUC
rnacentral:lncRNA from 1 species